rnacentral:lncRNA from 1 species
UUUGCAGCCUUAUAUAAAAUAUUCAUGGCUUUAGCAUUGAGUUAAACUAUUUUCUUAUCAACCUCAUCCCAUUCUCUUUCGGGUUUGGUUGAUUCUACACCAUCAAUUACCUUAGUGGGUGUGUGUGAUCCAUUAACUAUGAUACUCCACAUAUCAUAGUCAAGUGUUUGAAUAAAAAUUUUCAUCCGAGCUUUUCAAUAGGUGUAGUUUGACCCAUUAAAA